UUUGUGUGGUACAUAAAAAGACACGGCAUGACCUAAACCGCAAUGACACUGUGAACCGCAGUGGGGGUCAGGUGAUUAGCCAGAUGGUGAUGACGCGAGCUGCGACUUAUGUUGUGCUUGCUAUUGCAGUUGGGCUUUCGAGCCUGUUAGGGACUUCAGCCACUGGAGACACUGCAAAGAGGAGAUCUCUCGGAGUUAUAUUGCAAAAUGUCGGAAGGAGGCUUCAAGGGAUACAGACUUCCUCAUUCCCAGAGGGCGAUAUGGAAUCUGAAGAACAACUGUACGAAGAGUUAAACGACAUACCUCAACUUCUGGAAGAAGAAGACAUAGCCGCGCUCACGAAAUCUUCGGCUCAAUACAGUUGGCUAAAAAAGGCGCGUAGAGUAAAACCAGGAACGGUGUAGACGGCAUAGCAAAGGGCGGCGUCGGCGUCCUAAAGGAUUUCGGAAUGGUUUCAUAAAUGUAUUUCUACACAUUCGCAACCAACACGCGACGCGCGUACAGUUGUGUGGCGUACGGUAUCAACUUUCGUAAUUUUAUGCUCAAAUUUUUCGUUGAAGCGAUAGCUUGAUAGGGCCAACCACCGUGUUACAACUUAUGACCACGUGUCGUGGUCACAGUGACACGUCAUUAGACAACGUGACCGUAUCUAAACACGUUUGGCACAAUGCCCGAGGAUCCAGCCAUUCUUUUGUUAUUAUUAUUUUGUCUGGUCAGAAAAGUCACAUAAGUGCAAUGUUUGCAAGUGCCGAUAUGCCAGUACUGCAUACAACAUACAACUAGCUGAACAGUUGACAACCCUGGCAAACAUUAGUUGUGCUCAACUUGUAGAGAUCAUACUUGGGCUUUCGGAAGCGAGAUGCAUGUACUGACCGAGAUACUAUAUGGUAUAAAUGACUGAGCAUGGUUUUACUGGUUAUAAUAAAGUUGUAUCACAAGAUUA